UACGUAGGCAGCGAGCGUUGUUCGGAGUUACUGGGCGUAAAGGGUGCGCAGGCGGUGGAGCAAGUCUGUUGUGAAAUCUCCCGGCUUAACCGGGAGGGUGCGGCGGAAACUGUUCUGCUGGAGUGAGGGAGAGGCAAGCGGAAUUCCUGGUGUAGCGGUGAAAUGCGUAGAUAUCAGGAGGAACACCUGCGGUGUAGACGGCUUACUGGACCAUAACUGACGCUGAGGCACGAAAGCGUGGGUAGCAAACAGG
rnacentral:rRNA from 1 species